rnacentral:rRNA from 1 species
CCUACGGGCGGCAGCAGUGGGGAAUAUUGGGCAAUGGGCGCAAGCCUGACCCAGCAACGCCGCGUGAAGGAAGAAGGCUUUCGGGUUGUAAACUUCUUUUAAGAGGGAAGAGCAGAAGACGGUACCUCUUGAAUUAGCCACGGCCAACUACGUGCCAGCAGCCGCGGUAAUACGUAGGUGGCAAGCGUUGUCCGGAUUUACUGGGUGUAAAGGGUGCGGAGGCGGGUUACCAAGUCAGCGGUAAAAUCGUGGAGCUCAACUCCAUCCAGCCGUUGAAACUGAGGAUCUUGAGUGGGCGAGAAGUAUGCGGAAUGCGUGGUGUAGCGGUGAAAUGCAUAGAUAUCACGCAGAACUCCGAUUGCGAAGGCAGCAUACCGGCGCCCGACUGACGCUGAAGCACGAAAGCGUGGGUAUCGAACAGGAUUAGAUACCCGGGUAGUC